rnacentral:rRNA from 1 species
GUGCCAGCGCGGUAAUACGGAGGGGGCUAGCGUUGUUCGGAAUUCUGGGCGUAAAGCGCACGUAGGCGGCUUUGUAAGUUAGAGGUGAAAGCCCGGGGCUCAACUCCGGAAUUGCCUUUAAGACUGCAUCGCUAGAAUUGUGGAGAGGUAAGUGGAAUUCCGAGUGUAGAGGUGAAAUUCGUAGAUAUUCGGAAGAACACCAGUGGCGAAGGCGACUUACUGGACACAUAUUGACGCUGAGGUGCGAAAGCGUGGGGAGCAAACAGG